UACAGAGGGUGCGAGCGUUAAUCGGAAUUACUGGGCGUAAAGCGUGCGUAGACGGUUAUGUAAGUUAGGUGUGAAAGCCCCGGGCUCAACCUGGGAAUUGCAUUUAAGACUGCAUAGCUAGGGUGCGGAAGAGGGAAGCGGAAUUUCCGGUGUAGCGGUGAAAUGCGUAGAUAUCGGAAGGAACAUCAGUGGCGAAAGCGGCUUCCUGGACCACAACUGACGCUGAUGCACGAAAGCUAGGGGAGCAAACAGG
rnacentral:rRNA from 1 species